rnacentral:lncRNA from 1 species
CUCAGCUGCAGGUCUGUUGGAGUUUGCUGGAGGUCCGCUCCAGACCCUGUUUGCCUGGGUAUCACCAGCGGAGUCUGCAGAACAGCAAAUAUUGCUGCCUGAUCCUUCCUCUGGAAGCUUUGUCUCAGAGGGGCACCCGGCCGUAUGAGGUGUCAAUCAGCCCCUACUGGGAGGUGUCUCCCAGUUAGGCUACACGAGGGUCAGGGACCCACUUGAGGAGGCAGUCUGUCUGUCUCAGAGCUCAAAUGCUGUGCUGGGAGAACAACUGCUCUCUUCAGCGCUGUCAGACAGGGACAUUUAAGUCUGCAGAAAUUGCCUGCUGCCUUUUGUUCAGCUAAGCCCUGCCCACACAGGUGGAGUCUAGAGGCUGCUGGCCUUGCUGAGCUGUGGUGGGCUUUGCCGAGUUCGAGCUUCCAGGCCACUUUGUUUACCUACUUAAGCCUCAGCAAUGGCAGACGCCCCUCCCCCAGCCAGGCUGCCGCCUUGCAGUUCAAUCUCAGACUGCUGUGCUAGCAGGGAGCAAGGCUCUGUGGGCCUGGGACCCACCGAGCCAGGCACGGGAGAGAAUCUUCUUGUCUGCCAGUUGCUAAGACCUUGGGAAAAGUGCAGUAUUUGGGCAGGAGUGUCCCAGUUUUCCAGGUACAGUCUGUCAUGGCUUCCCUGGCUAGGAAAGGGAAAUCCCCCGACCCCUUGCACUUCCCAGGUGAGGCGAUGCCUGCCCUGCUUCAGCUCGCCCUCUGUGGGCUGCACCCACUGUCCAACCAGUCCCAGUGAGAUGAACCAGGUACGUUAAUUGGAAAUGCAGAAAUCACCCGCCUUCUGCGUUGAUCACGCUGGAUGCCGCAGACCGGAGCUGUUCCUAUUCGGCCAUCUUGGAACCUAUCCUCGUUAUACUCUUAAAAAUUGUUGAGGAACCCAAAGGGUUUUUAUUUAUAGGGGUUAUAUUUAUUAUUAAUGUUUACCAUAUUAGAAAUUAAAACUCAGGCCGGGUGCGGUGGUUCAUGCCUGUAAUCCUAGCACUUUGGGAGGCCAAGAUGGGAGGAUUGCUUGAGACUAGGAGUUCAAGACCAGCCUGGUCAACGUAGCGAGACCCCAUCUCUAUUUAAAUACAAAUAAAAGAAAAUAAAUGAAAACUCAGAAGAUUCCAAAAUGCAAUGAAUGUACAAGCACUUAUUCCAGUAGCCAAGAGCAAGGACAUCAUCCCACAUUUUAUAGGCUCUGAAAAACAGUGUACUUUUGAGAGAAUGUAAGUGAAGAGGCAAGUAACAUUGAGUAUUAGGAAAGUAGUUUGACCUCCUAGACUCCCAAGAACCACUUUGAAAAAUGCUGGACUAGAUCCUGUAGGACCUUAUAGGUACGGAAAGGAGCCAGGAGUUUUUCUAAGUAUAAUAGGACCACUGAGAGAUUGUAGGAGAGCACAAAUGGAACAGAGGAACCCAUUUGGGAACUAUUGUGCCUUGGAGAUGAUGGUGGUGUAGACUAGGAUGGUAGCAAUGGAGAUGAGAUUUGAGAAAGAAUGGACAGGAUGUACAGGCAAAUUGGAAAUGGGGGCUGGGGAAAGGGGAGGAGUCCCAGGUGACUUCCAGCACUUGAGGUCCUGGCUGGGCAUGGUGGCUUGCACCUGUAUUCCCAGCACUUUGGGAGGCCAAGGCGGGUGGAUCACCUGAGGCGAGGAGUUCGAGACCAGCCUGGCCAACAUGGUGAAACCCCG